AAGGUAAAGAAGAGACGAUAGAUGGGAACCUUAUAUCAGAAGGACAAGUCGUAGCUGGAUUUAUUCUUCGAACUAGAAUUCACGACGAUCGGUUCACCGGGUCCAUUCGCAAACGAAUUCUCGGACCACGCAGACCUGAAAUAUUGGAAUGUAGAAGAGAAGUAUUUCCUGCUUCCUCGAAGGUAUUUCAACCAUGCUAUGAAAAAUGUGAAAAGAAAAGGUUUUAUGAAUAACAAGUAUGGAUAAAAGGCGGAAUAGGAAGCAAUUUUAUUACAUCCGUUUUAACGCCAACUGAUAUCCAUGGAAUCAUGAGCGACGAAGAAAAAGAACAGUAAUGUUUCUGACAUUAUCGCAGACCAGAAAGUAAUAUUUCCUGGAAAAAGAGUGGCUAAGCUUAUUCCUUAGAGGGAAACGAUUGGAACUCGAUACAAUAUUUGCUAAAUGGAAUGCCUACUCAGAUUCUACAGAUAAAAAAAGAAUAAAUAAAUUUCAAAAUUUAUUAAAUA